rnacentral:rRNA from 1 species
AAUCAAGCGCGAAAAGGGCGUUUGGUGAAUGCCUUGGCAGUAAGAGGCGAUGAAAGACGUGAUACUCUGCGAUAAGCCAUGGGGAGCCGAGAAUAUGCUUUGAUCCAUGGAUUUCUGAAUGGGGCAACCCACCUGACUGUUUGUUAUUGUUAGCUCUGCUAUCAAUAAUGAGCAUAAACAGGUACUUAUUACCUGAAUACAUAGGGUUUUAAGAGCAAACCCGGGGAACUGAAACAUCUAAGUACCCGGAGGAAAGGACAUCAAUUGAUACUCCCCUAGUAGCGGCGAGCGAACGGGGACCAGCCGAGCCAUAAUUGCGACCAGAACAUUCUGGAAAGGAUGACCAUAGUGGGUGACAGUCCCGUAUGGGAAGCAUGAUUGGACGUAUUAAGUAGGGCGGAACACGUGAAAUUCUGUCUGAAGAUCGGAGGACCACCUUCGAAGGCUAAGUACUCCUUACUGACCGAUAGUGAACCAGUACCGUGAGGGAAAGGUGAAAAGCACCCCGACAAGGGGAGUGAAACAGUCCCUGAAACCGAACGCCUACAAUCAGUCGGAGCACCCUAGCGGUGUGACGGCGUACCUUUUGUAUAAUGGGUCAUCGACUUGGUCUAUCUAGCAAGCUUAAGCCGUUAGGUGUAGGCGCAGCGAAAGCGAGUCUUAAUAGGGCGCAUGAGUUAGAUGGAUCAGACCCGAAACCGAGUGAUCUAGGCAUGACCAGGUUGAAGGUAAGGUAACACUUACUGGAGGACCGAACCCACACCUGUUGAAAAAGGUCGGGAUGAGUUGUGCCUAGGGGUGAAAGGCCAAUCAAACUCGGAGAUAGCUGGUUCUCCGCGAAAUCUAUUUAGGUAGAGCGUCAUCCGAAUACCCCGGGGGGUAGAGCACUGGAUGGGUAAUGGGGCCCCACAGGCUUACUGAUCCUAACCAAACUCCGAAUACCCGGGAGUACUAGAUGGCAGACACACGGCGGAUGCUAACGUCCGUCGUGGAGAGGGAAACAACCCUGACCUACAGCUAAGGCCCCCAAUUCAUGGCUAAGUGGGAAAGCAGGUGGGACGACCAAAACAACCAGGAGGUUGGCUUAGAAGCAGCCAUCCUUUAAAGAUAGCGUAACAGCUCACUGGUCUAAUUAAGUUGUCCUGCGGCGAAGAUGUAACGGGGCUCAAGCCAUGAGCCGAAGCUUAGGAUGCAUUUAAUGCAUGGUAGCGGAGCGUAGUGUGACAUAGCACCGUUCCUCUUUUGCGGUUUGGUAUGAGCAAUCAUACCCUGCGUAAUGGAGGAAAUGGUGUUUUCUGUGAAGCCGGGCUGUAAGGCAUCCGGUGGAGAGAUCACUAGUGAGAAUGAUGACAUGAGUAGCGACAAAGAGUGUGAGAGACACUCUCGCCGAAAAUCCAAGGGUUCCUGCUUAAAGCUAAUCUGAGCAGGGUGAGCCGACCCCUAAGUCGAGGCCGAAAGGCGUAGACGAUGGGAACCAGGUUAAUAUUCCUGGGCCAGGAGGAUGUGACGGAUUGUGAAGGUUGUUUCCCCUUAUUGGAUUGGGGAGGCCGCUGAUCAGUUCCUGGAAAUAGCCCUCCAUGAGAUCGUACCCUAAACCGACACAGGUGGAUAGGUAGAGAAUACCAAGGCGCUUGAGAGAACUACGUUGAAGGAACUCGGCAAAAUACCUCCGUAAGUUCGCGAGAAGGAGGCCCAGUUUCUACGCAAGUAUUGGCUGGGGGCACAAACCAGGGGGUGGCGACUGUUUACUAAAAACACAGGGCUCUGCGAAGUCGCAAGACGACGUAUAGGGUCUGACGCCUGCCCGGUGCCUGAAGGUUAAAAGGAGAUGUGAGAGCGUCGAAUUGAAGCCCAGGUAAACGGCGGCCGUAACUAUAACGGUCCUAAGGUAGCGAAAUUCCUUGUCGGGUAAGUUCCGACCUGCACGAAUGGCGUAACGACUUCCCCGCUGUCUCCAACGUAGACUCAGCGAAAUUGAAUUGCCUGUCAAGAUGCAGGCUUCCCGCGGUUAGACGGAAAGACCCCGUGCACCUUUACUACAGCUUCGCACUGGCAUCAGGCACAAUAUGUGCAGGAUAGGUGGUGGGCUUUGAAGCAGGAACGCCAGUUUCUGUGGAGCCUCCCUUGAGAUACCACCCUUGUUUUGCCUGAUGUCUAACCGCGGUCCGUUAUCCGGAUCCGGGACCCUGCGUGGCGGGUAGUUUGACUGGGGCGGUCGCCUCCUAAAGAGUAACGGAGGCGCGCGAAGGUUGGCUCAGAGCGGUCGGAAAUCGCUCGUUGAGUGCAAUGGCAGAAGCCAGCCUGACUGCGAGACUGACAAGUCGAGCAGAGUCGAAAGACGGCCAUAGUGAUCCGGUGGUCCCGAGUGGAAGGGCCAUCGCUCAACGGAUAAAAGGUACGCCGGGGAUAACAGGCUGAUACUGCCCAAGAGUCCAUAUCGACGGCAGUGUUUGGCACCUCGAUGUCGGCUCAUCUCAUCCUGGGGCUGGAGCAGGUCCCAAGGGUACGGCUGUUCGCCGUUUAAAGAGGUACGUGAGCUGGGUUUAGAACGUCGUGAGACAGUUCGGUCCCUAUCUGCCGUGGGUGUAGGAUACUUGAGAGGAGUUGCCCCUAGUACGAGAGGACCGGGGUGAACGAUCCACUGGUGGACCUGUUGUUGCGCCAGCAGCAGUGCAGGGUAGCUAUGAUCGGACAGGAUAACCGCUGAAGGCAUCUAAGCGGGAAGCCCCCCUCAAAACAAGGUAUCCCUGAGGGCCGUGGUAGACCACCACGUCGAUAGGCCGGAGAUGUAAGCGCAGCAAUGUGCUCAGUUGACCGGUACUAAUGGCCCGAUAGGCUUGAUUUG